rnacentral:tRNA from 2 species
AAGACACUAGUAAAGUGCCAUUACAUUGCCUUGUCAAGGCAAAAUCGUGGGUUAAAAACCCACGUGUCUUA